rnacentral:rRNA from 1 species
GAUGAACGCUGGCGGCGUGCUUAACACAUGCAAGUCGAACGAUGAAGCCCAGCUUGCUGGGUGGAUUAGUGGCGAACGGGUGAGUAACACGUGAGUAACCUGCCCUUAACUCUGGGAUAAGCCUGGGAAACUGGGUCUAAUACCGGAUAGGAGCGCCUACCGCAUGGUGGGUGUUGGAAAGAUUUAUCGGUUUUGGAUGGACUCGCGGCCUAUCAGCUUGUUGGUGAGGUAAUGGCUCACCAAGGCGACGACGGGUAGCCGGUCUGAGAGGGUGACCGGCCACACUGGGACUGAGACACGGCCCAGACUCCUACGGGAGGCAGCAGUGGGGAAUAUUGCACAAUGGGCGAAAGCCUGAUGCAGCGACGCCGCGUGAGGGAUGACGGCCUUCGGGUUGUAAACCUCUUUCAGUAGGGAAGAAGCGAAAGUGACGGUACCUGCAGAAGAAGCACCGGCUAACUACGU